rnacentral:rRNA from 1 species
UACAGAGGGUGCGAGCGUUGUCCGGAAUCACUGGGCGUAAAGGGCGCGUAGGCGGCUUGAUAAGGUUGCGGUGAAAGCCCGGGGCUCAACCCCGGGUCGGCCGUGGCAACUGUCGAGCUGGAGCACUGUAGAGGCAGGUGGAAUUCCUGGUGUAGCGGUGGAAUGCGCAGAUAUCAGGAGGAACACCGGUGGCGAAGGCGGGUCUCUGGGCCGAUACUGACGCUGGAGGAGCGAAAGCGUGGGGAGCGAACAGG